AUACGUAGGGGGCGAGCGUUGUCCGGAAUGAUUGGGCGUAAAGGGCGCGUAGGCGGCCCGGUAAGUCUGGAGUGUAAGUCCUGCUUUUAAGGUGGGAAUUGCUUUGGAUACUGUCGGGCUUGAGUGCAGGAGAGGUAAGUGGAAUUCCCAGUGUAGCGGUGAAAUGCGUAGAGAUUGGGAGGAACACCAGUGGCGAAGGCGACUUACUGGACUGUAACUGACGCUGAGGCGCGAAAGUGUGGGGAGCAAACAGGAUUAGAUACCCUGGUAGUCCACACUGUAAACGAUGAAUGCUAGGUGUAGGGGGUAUCGACCCCUUCUGUGCCGCAGUAAACACAAUAAGCAUUCCGCCUGGGGAGUACGGCCGCAAGGUUGAAACCCAAAGGAAUUGACGGGG
rnacentral:rRNA from 1 species